rnacentral:rRNA from 1 species
GAAUGCUGACAUAAGUAACGAUAAAGCGGGUGAAAAGCCCGCUCGCCGGAAGACCAAGGGUUCCUGUCCAACGUUAAUCGGGGCAGGGUGAGUCGACCCCUAAGGCGAGGCCGAAAGGCGUAGUCGAUGGGAAACAGGUUAAUAUUCCUGUACUUGGUGUUACUGCGAAGGGGGGACGGAGAAGGCUAUGUUGGCCGGGCGACGGUUGUCCCGGUUUAAGCGUGUAGGCUGGUUUUCCAGGCAAAUCCGGAAAAUCAAGGCUGAGGCGUGAUGACGAGGCACUACGGUGCUGAAGCGACAAAUGCCCUGCUUCCAGGAAAAGCCUCUAAGCAUCAGGUAACAUCAAAUCGUACCCCAAACCGACACAGGUGGUCAGGUAGAGAAUACCAAGGCGCUUGAGAGAACUCGGGUGAAGGAACUAGGCAAAAUGGUGCCGUAACUUCGGGAGAAGGCACGCUGAUAUGUAGGUGAAGCGACUUGCUCGUGGAGCUGAAAUCAGUCGAAGAUACCAGCUGGCUGCAACUGUUUAUUAAAAACACAGCACUGUGCAAACACGAAAGUGGACGUAUACGGUGUGACGCCUGCCCGGUGCCGGAAGGUUAAUUGAUGGGGUUAGCGGUAACGCGAAGCUCUUGAUCGAAGCCCCGGUAAACGGCGGCCGUAACUAUAACGGUCCUAAGGUAGCGAAAUUCCUUGUCGGGUAAGUUCCGACCUGCACGAAUGGCGUAAUGAUGGCCAGGCUGUCUCCACCCGAGACUCAGUGAAAUUGAACUCGCUGUGAAGAUGCAGUGUACCCGCGGCAAGACGGAAAGACCCCGUGAACCUUUACUAUAGCUUGACACUGAACAUUGAGCCUUGAUGUGUAGGAUAGGUGGGAGGCUUUGAAGUGUGGACGCCAGUCUGCAUGGAGCCGACCUUGAAAUACCACCCUUUAAUGUUUGAUGUUCUAACGUGGGCCCCUUACCGGGGUUGCGGACAGUGUCUGGUGGGUAGUUUGACUGGGGCGGUCUCCUCCUAAAGAGUAACGGAGGAGCACGAAGGUUGGCUAAUCCUGGUCGGACAUCAGGAGGUUAGUGCAAUGGCAUAAGCCAGCUUGACUGCGAGCGUGACGGCGCGAGCAGGUGCGAAAGCAGGUCAUAGUGAUCCGGUGGUUCUGAAUGGAAGGGCCAUCGCUCAACGGAUAAAAGGUACUCCGGGGAUAACAGGCUGAUACCGCCCAAGAGUUCAUAUCGACGGCGGUGUUUGGCACCUCGAUGUCGGCUCAUCACAUCCUGGGGCUGAAGUAGGUCCCAAGGGUAUGGCUGUUCGCCAUUUAAAGUGGUACGCGAGCUGGGUUUAGAACGUCGUGAGACAGUUCGGUCCCUAUCUGCCGUGGGCGCUGGAGAACUGAGGGGGGCUGCUCCUAGUACGAGAGGACCGGAGUGGACGCAUCACUGGUGUUCGGGUUGUCAUGCCAAUGGCACUGCCCGGUAGCUAAAUGCGGAAGAGAUAAGUGCUGAAAGCAUCUAAGCACGAAACUUGCCCCGAGAUGAGUUCUCCCUGACUCCUUGAGAGUCCUGAAGGAACGUUGAAGACGACGACGUUGAUAGGCCGGGUGUGUAAGCGCAGCGAUGCAUUGAGCUAACCGGUACUAAUGAACCGUGAGGCUUAACCUU